AGCUAUCUAUCUUCAUUAUACAAUAAUAUUAUGAUAUGAGGGUCACCUGGGAGGUUAAAUUUUAUGAAAUACUAUAAAUGCCCUUCCUAGAAGUUUCUUAAUUUUAGCAUGAAGUAAAAUGGAGGGAAAGAAGAGUCACGUGACUCUCAAGUGACCAUCUCCUUCCAUACUACUUUCUUUUCCAUCAGAUCUCUAUGCUCCAUCAGACACAGUGAAGGAGAUGAUGGAGUAAAGAAGAGGG
rnacentral:lncRNA from 1 species